UAAAAUCUAACAGAAAAGCAAAAAGAAACUUUCAGUGUUUCCUCAAAAACAUUUUCUUCUUCUUCAUCGAUACCAAAUCCCACCUCACACAUACAUCUUCCUAUCAUCUGCAGCUACAAAAAGAGGUCACAAAUCCACCUUUUUCAAAUUUCAUUUUUUAUUUUUCUCUUGUUCAUUGUUUCCUCAACAUAUAUGUUCACUGUUCUUCAACUAUAAACCCUCGUCUUCUUCUUCGGUCCUGUGACACAAGCUCGAUCGACCACCUUCUUCCAUCUUUCAAUGCCACCACCAUAACUCUCCGGCGAAACUCCUCUCAACUCACCCGCCAUGUCCCCCUCCACGAUACCUCUAAACCACACCAAAAAACCCACCUUUUUUCCAACUCACGUUAACUGCUACUGCCGUGAAAAUGAAGCACAAAUAACAACCAUUACUCGCCAUCAAAACUCUCUUCUCCAACCAUUAUUCCAAUAUAAGUCACUACAACAACUGGAUAUCUCACCCAUGACCUCUAACAUCAACGCACCUCAUAACCACCAACCUUAACCUCACAACAAUAUUCACAUUACAAAUUUUCUUUUCUCUUCCUGAAUCCACCAUUUUCAAAUUUGAUUUUGAAACUCAUCCUCGGGAUUUUGUUUUUUUACCUUCAUUUUUCACUCACUGAGGCUUUGGUUUGCUACUGUUGUUUGUUGUCAAGAUCUUGCUAUUAGAAUUAGUGGAGGCUUACACUCCAAAGCCCCAUGAGGAACCACUUCACUAGGGAGAUUUGGAAAGGAAUACAAAGAACAACCCCACUGUUCGCUCAUCGACUCAACAACUACAUCAACCCGGUAAGGUCACUAACAUAACAUCAACAACUCAACGACAUCAGGUGUUUUAUCGUUUGGUUUUUGUUUUCUUUUCUAUUUUGAGUUCGAUACUGCUCUAUUUGUUGUGUUCGACUGGUAUUUUUUUCCGAUUCAUCCUGUUUUGUUUUAUUAGCUACGUUGGACUGAUGUAAUAAUGUGUAAUGAUGUUAAAUUAAUGGAAAUAUAUUGUGG
rnacentral:lncRNA from 1 species